AGUGAACGCUGGCGGUAGGCCUAACACAUGCAAGUCGAACGGCAGCACAGUAAGAGCUUGCUCUUACGGGUGGCGAGUGGCGGACGGGUGAGGAAUACAUCGGAAUCUACUUUUUCGUGGGGGAUAACGUAGGGAAACUUACGCUAAUACCGCAUCCGCCCUACGGGUGAAAGCAGGGGAUCUUCGGACCUUGCGCGAUUGAAUGAGCCGAUGUCGGAUUAGCUAGUUGGCGGGGUAAAGGCCCACCAAGGCGACGAUCCGUAGCUGGUCUGAGAGGAUGAUCAGCCACACUGGAACUGAGACACGGUCCAGACUCCUACGGGAGGCAGCAGUGGGGAAUAUUGGACAAUGGGCGCAAGCCUGAUCCAGCCAUACCGCGUGGGUGAAGAAGGCCUUCGGGUUGUAAAGCCCUUUUGUUGGGAAAGAAAAGCAGCAGGUUAAUACCCCGCUGUUCUGACGGUACCCAAAGAAUAAGCACCGGCUAACUUCGUG
rnacentral:rRNA from 1 species